rfam:Triticum aestivum genome assembly, contig: Triticum_aestivum_CS42_TGACv1_scaffold_130760_2BL
UAUGUACUCCCUCCGUCCGAAAAUACUUUUCCUAGAAAUGGUUGUAUCUAGACUUACUUUAUAGAUACAUCCAUUUUAUUCAUUUUUAGGACAAGUAUUUUCGGACGGAGGGAGUACAUC